AUACGUAGGGGGCGAGCGUUGUCCGGAAUGAUUGGGCGUAAAGGGCGCGUAGGCGGCCCGGUAAGUCUGGAGUGAAAGUCCUGCUUUUAAGGUGGGAAUUGCUUUGGAUACUGUCGGGCUUGAGUGCAGGAGCGGUAAGUGGAAUUCCCAGUGUAGCGGUGAAAUGCGUAGAGAUUGGGAGGAACACCAGUGGCGAAGGCGACUUACUGGACUGUAACUGACGCUGAGGCGCGAAAGUGUGGGGAGCAAACAGGAUUAGAUACCCUGGUAGUCCACACUGUAAACGAUGAAUGCUAGGUGUAGGGGGUAUCGACCCCUUCUGUGCCGCAGUUAACACAAUAAGCAUUCCGCCUGGGGAGUACGGCCGCAAGGUUGAAACUCAAAUGAAUUGGCGGG
rnacentral:rRNA from 1 species